rnacentral:rRNA from 1 species
UAGGGAAUAUUGGACAAUGGGGGCAACCCUGAUCCAGCCAUGCCGCGUGAGUGAAGAAGGCCCUCGGGUUGUAAAGCUCUUUUGUCCGGAAAGAAAAGCUUCGGGUUAAUACCCCGGGGUUCUGACGGUACCGGAAGAAUAAGCACCGGCUAACUUCGUGCCAGCAGCCGCGGUAAUACGAAGGGUGCAAGCGUUACUCGGAAUUACUGGGCGUAAAGCGUGCGUAGGUGGUUGUUUAAGUCUGAUGUGAAAGCCCUGGGCUCAACCUGGGAAUGGCAUUGGAAACUGGUCAGCUAGAGUGCGGUAGAGGGUAGUGGAAUUCCCGGUGUAGCAGUGAAAUGCGUAGAGAUCGGGAGGAACAUCUGUGGCGAAGGCGACUGCCUGGACCAGCACUGACACUGAGGCACGAAAGCGUGGGGAGCAAACA